UACAGAGGGUGCAAACGUUGCUCGGAAUUAUUGGGCGUAAAGCGCGUGUAGGCGGCUUGUUAAGUUGGUUGUGAAAACCCAUGGCUCAACCAUGGAAGGGCGUCCAAAACUGGCAAGCUAGAGUCCCGACGAGGAUGGCGGAAUUCCCAGUGUAGAGGUGAAAUUCGUAGAUAUUGGGAGGAACACCGGUGGCGAAGGCGGCCAUCUGAGAGGGCACUGACGCUGAGACGCGAAAGCGUGGGGAGCAAACAGG
rnacentral:rRNA from 1 species